rnacentral:lncRNA from 1 species
CUGAGAGAAGCUAACAACACGAGAAGAGAACCAUUUGAUGGAAGAAAAUAAAAAGCAAGACAAGACCAAGAAGGAAGCUGCUCAGAAACAGGCUGCUGACCUGAAAACCAAAGAGCCAGCUAAGCCCAGCCCCGGUCCCCUCCACUACCCCACCACCUGUGUGACCCUGCCCCAGGCCUCACACCCCCCCUCCUCGUCCUCUUCAGUCAGAACCAAUGGGAAGCGCGCCCCCCCUAGCACCCAGCAAACACCACAGCAGCUGCCCCCUCCGCCGUCGUCCUCAGGCCCCCGCUACCCGCCCCGUGAGGUUCCCCCGCGUUUCCGCCAGCAGGAGCACAAGCAGCUACUGAAGAGGGGCCAGCCACUGCCAGCCGGAGCCCUGAGUAGCCUCACAGUGACCCCUGCCUCCGACCCGCUCACCCCUGGUGCCCCCGCUUCUUCUUCCUCCACAGGCAAGCGCCACACAGGUCAGUUCCCUGCUUAUUGCGUCUUAACCUUGGCUCCUUGGCUAGAUCUGGUUCCCCAGUAG